CAUAGAUAUUUUCACAUCAUAUCACAGUUACUGAAGAUAUCUUAAAAUGUCCUUUAUGCUUAUCAUCACUUCAAAAUGACAGAGGUUAUUAAACCCAUCACUGUAUUUUGUCAUUUAACACACGAAUAAAGAAGCACAUUUAACACAUGAAUAAAGAAGAAUAAAUUUAUUUCCUCUUAAAUUUUGAUAGAUGUAUUUCAAAAGAACUGUUCUCCUUGCUCAUACACUUUAUUGUAUGUAUUGAAGCAUGACUAAAUGGGUCCGUGGUCCCAAAGGAGGAAAAAUCCUUCCCCUGGUCUCAGGCAGUGGAAUGGACCAUUCCAGAGAAAAUGCAUUAGACCACUAAAACUCAAAGACGACGCAAUCAAUUCUGAUACAGAUCAAUAUUUAAUAUAUUUUAAUUGAUGAGCA
rnacentral:lncRNA from 1 species